GGCUUGGUGGUCUAGAGGUAUGAUUCCUUCUUAGGGCUUGUGUGUUUGGUCACGUGACCUGGAGGAGGUCCUGGGUUCGAUUCCCAGCCAAGCCC